AGGAUACUGCUAUUGGGGUUCGAUUAAGCCAUGCAAGUCUUUGAGCAAUCAAGGCGAACUGCUGAGUAACACGUAGUCAACUUACCCUUGUGUUGGGGAUAACCUCGGAAAACUGAGGAUAAUACCUAAUAGGAUAUUAUGCCUGGAAUGGUUUAUAUUUAAAAGCUUCUGCGCACAAGGAUGGGACUGCGGCGGAUUAGGCUGAUGUUAAGGUAAAGGCUUAACAUACCUGUAAUCCGUAGGGGCCAUGAGAGUGGUUGCCCCCAGAUGGGUUCUGAGACAUUAACCCAGGUCCUACGGGACGCAGCAGGGACGAAAACUCCACAAUGCACGCAAGUGUGAUGGGGGAACCUCAAGUGCUGGUACUUUGUAUCAGCUUUUCUCUAUUUUAAAUCGCUAGAGGAAUAAGUGGUGGGUAAGACGGUUGCCAGCCGCCACGGUAAUAACCGCGCCACAAGUGGUAUCCAUGUAUUUGGUUUAAAGCAUUCGUAGCCGGUUUGUUAAGUCUUUUGUGAAAUCCUAUAGAAAACUAUAGGGUGUGCAGAAGAUACUAAUAAACUUGGGACUGGAAGGAGCUAGAGGUACUUUAAGGGUAGGGGUUAAAUCCUAUAAUCCUUAAGGGACCACCUGUGGCGAAGGCGUCUAGCUAGAACGGGUCCGACGGUGAGGAAUGAAAGCUAGGGGAGCGAAAGGGAUUAGAUACCCCUGUAGUCCUAGCCGUAAACAAUGCCCGUUAGGUAUUGGAUUUCCUCCGAGGAAAUUCAGAGCCGUAGGGAAACCAUUAAACGGGCCACCUGGGGAGUACGAUCGCAAGAUUGAAACUUAAAGGAAUUGGCGGGGGAGCACUACAAGGGGUGCAGUCUGCGGUUCAAUUGGAUUCAACGCCGGGAACCUUACCAGAGGCGACAGCAGAAUGAAGGUCAGUCUAAAGGGCUUACCUGACGCGCUGAGAGGUAUUGCAUGGCCGCCGUCAGCUCGUGCCGUGAGGUGUCCUGUUAAGUCAGGUAACGAGCGAGACCCGCACCUUAUGUUGCUAGUAAUUUCUUCGGAAAUUAUGCACUCAUAAGGAACUGCCAGCGAUAAGUUGGAGGAAGGAGCGGUCUACGGUAGGUCUGUAUGGUCCGAAUCUUCUGGGCUACACGCGGGCCACAAUGGCAGAGACAAUAGGAUGCAACUCUGAAAAGAGGAGCUAAUCCCUGAAACUCUGUCCUAGUACUAAUUGAGGAUUGCAACUCAUCCUCAUGAUGCUGGAAUCCCUAGUAGUCGAAUGUUAGCAUCUUUCGGCGAAUACGUCCCUGCUCCUUGCGCACACCGCCCGUCAAACCAUCCAAGUGGGGUUGAGAUGAGGUCAUAUCAUAAGGUAUGAUCGAAUCUUGGUUUCGUGAGGAGGGUU
rnacentral:rRNA from 1 species